AGGAAAAAGGGAAACCUUUGGCAAUUGUUCUGCAGACCCGCUCUCUAUAUAUAUCUGGAUGUUGUAAACCUGCGGCACAAAAGCUCUUGCUGUCGAAAACCAUGUGACACACCCUGCAUUGUCCCCCCGCCAGAUGUUCGUGAUAAUCGUUGGGUUCUAAAUCCAGCGUCACACGGUGCGAAUGUAACUGAAGUUGCAUUAAACAGGCGAUAAAUAAAGUACACAAGUCUACCGACUGUUCGCAGGCAAAGUUGGAUUUUUUGCCAUUAAACUGUUACAGACAAAAAUUAUCACAAAAACUUCUCACCGUAAGUAAUUAAGGAGUGUUUCCGACAACUCGUUCAAAUGAAAGUCAUACAAUGUAAACCUGGCUUUAUGGGCCGGAUGCUCUCUCAGCCAGGCUUAAAGUGAUUAUGUUUUGUUAACUCCAUGCCAGAAACAGGAUAGAACUCGGAACAGAUUAGUUCUAAAGCGACAUAGCUUCGACGGUUUGCUUUUGCACAUGGCAGCAACCUUAAUGUGACCUGCAGACGAUUCAGUAAUAUAUUCUUUUUUUUCAGUCACAUUUUAUCCGUCAAACGAGUUCACAAGAGAUGACAGAAAGCGAUUUGUUCAGAAGCUGGUUGGAUUUCCCGAUGCCUUUGUGCCGGGCUGACAUCUGUGACAUCCUCUGAAGUAUAUCCUCGCCACGGUCGGGUGAGGUGUGUAAGAGAGACACACACAUUUGUUUUUACGACACCACAAUUAAUAUUGUGUGGUUUGUGUAUGAGAGAGAGAGAAAAAAAGAAAGAAGGAGAGAGAGAUUUACUGCUUCAUUUUCAAGAAAGUCUUGCUGACCGCAAAACGAAGGCUGCAGUGUCGUCAAUCACCGUCCUUGCUGGGGCACCUGCACUGUUUGGCCACAGGCAUCAAUCAGCAUGCUGGUAUUGUCACGACUGUUUAACGAGGAUCUAGAGAUUCGAAAACGCCACUGUCGUGCGCGCGCGUGAUCGAGAGACCUGCAUUCGGUCUUGUGUCAAGUGUGACAGCAGACGACCGCGAUAACAGCCAUGGCUGCACAUUCCAUGUAGAACAGCGAAUUAUUCCACGGGUGUGCCUUUGCGACUUAUUGUUACCUCGCGUCAUCAAGGUGGGCGCCACCGGUUACCUGCUGCGAGAUGUCGAGCCAAGUGGCGGAUGUCGAGGGCUCAUCGAGGGAACUGACGGACGUCAAUGAAGGACGAGAGAAGAGCUCUGGACCCAGUCCUGAAACAGAGUCAGGAAAAGGUACUGGUAAGACGAACACAAGCAACACCACUUGUGGCAAAUACUUCAAGCAAACACUGAUCUCGCACAGAUAAACUCAAAGAAAUAUUAUUUUAUAGAGGAUUUAGAUGAUAUUUUGCUCUGUGUGAAUAAGUAGGAUUUCACGAAGCUAGGGAUUGUGAAAUGACGACUUUUCAACACAAAUCUUCAGAUCAUGAAAUGCGAUCAAAAUCAUAUAGAUGACAAUAGUUAUUCGAGCCAUCUUUUUUUCACAGAUGCCACACAUUCAAAAGAGAAGAAAAACACAACUGUACGUGCUCAUAAUUAGAAAUAACGACAAUUUUAAACGAUAUAAGCUAUUACAAUUAUUUCAUUGGUUCUACCCGCCGCUAUCCCCUACCCGACCCACCACCACCAACAACAACAACAACAACAACAUCGCCACCACUCCAAGCUCACAAUCUGUACUUUAUAACUCUUGACAUAUCUGAGAAACUAUCACAAGUUGAUAUUGUGCAUGUGUGAAUAGUAAUAAUGUCCGGUUCGGUUUAUCCCGGGCCUGGUUCACUGAGCUCAUUACGUCAGCUCUGACUACCUACGUGAUUCAGCGUCUUUAUUGUAACAGCUUUCCUACUGUCUACCUUGUGUGUAACUUGUGAUACAUUGCACCAUGUUAACAUUUGAUGCCGAGUAAAAAUGCGAACUUUUUUUCAUAGUACAUAUACAUCCAUAUUCACAUCGAGAUGGAAGCAAAGUCCACCCGGCAUAUUAAUCACAAAAUACGGGUUGUUAUGUAGAAUGGAUUCUAGCAUUUAGAUGGAUGAACAUCUGGACGAGUUCUAGCUCUCGGUUGUCAUUUUUUUUAGUUGAGUUUAGAACUUGCAAGCGUCACACACACACAAACUCGCUCUCUCACCAAACGCCCACUCACUAGUUCACACUUUUGUUUAUUGUUUAUUCAUACACCCACUCACUCAAGCACACGCUCGCUUCUUGCAAAAAAAUUGUCAAGGAUUUCCGUUUGGCAUGAAUUGGUCACCGACUCUGACCGGCGUUAACUCUGCCGGUGAACAGUUUUUCGAGAAAAUUUGUGUAGCCAUGAAACUCACUGUCGUCGCAUUUCGAUGUGUGUCAGAGGGCAAAAGUCAACCUCACGAUAAUUUCCUUCCUCUGUUGAUGACCGAGGCAUUUUGUUUACGACCGGCGCGAACCCAGACAUUCUGUUUUUGCAGAGUUCAUGCAAAGGGUUCAUGCAAUAGCAGUGUAUCACAAUUUUGUUUUCUUUUAACUGUAUUGUGCGUGACUUCAUGUGGAAAGCGCGGAGUUUAUAGAGAUGACAGCAUGCAUAAAAUAUCUGGGUUUAUUGGAGACUGCACUCAAAACAAGGUCAAGAAAAAUUGCGACAUGAUUGUCCUCCAAAGAAGCCAGAAAUAACCAGGCAAUUAAAUCUGAAAUGUCCAUGUAAUAAACGAUGUAUAGUCAGUCUAGAAGACCUCUGGCCCUACCAAUGACGAAUCCAAGACACAUCUUGAGAAUGAAAAAGUGGGCAACUGCAUGGACCAGUUGUGACUCGACAGCUUUCGUCUCCCAAGAAAGGUUCUAGCCGAGGCGCCAUUUGAUGAUGUUGUGUAGGAUUCUGGUCCCUCGUUUCAAACCGACGCCACCCGUAAACUUUGCCAAUUAGGUUGGCGAGCUUGGUGUU
rnacentral:lncRNA from 1 species